rnacentral:rRNA from 1 species
CUACGGGCUGCAGCAGUGGGGAAUUUUGCACAAUGGGGGAAACCCUGAUGCAGCGACGCCGCGUGCGGGAAGAAGGCCUUAGGGUUGUAAACCGCUUUCAAUUGUGAAGAAGGGAUGAGAGUUAAUAGCUUUCUGACUUGACGGUAGCAUUAGAGGAAGCACCGGCUAAUUUCGUGCCAGCAGCCGCGGUAAUACGAAAGGUGCAAGCGUUGUUCGGAUUUACUGGGCGUAAAGAGAUCGUAGGUGGUUUAUUAAGUCGGAUAUGAAAUCCCGGAGCUCAACUUCGGAACUGCAUUCGAUACUGGUAGGCUAGAGUUCGGGAGGGGAAAGCGGAAUUCCGUGUGUAGCAGUGAAAUGCGUAGAUAUACGGAGGAACACCUGAGGCGAAGGCGGCUUUCUGGACCGAUACUGACACUGAGGAUCGAAAGCGUGGGUAGCAAACAGGAUUAGAUACCCGCGUAGUC